UACGUAGGUGGCAAGCGUUGUCCGGAUUUACUGGGUGUAAAGGGAGCGUAGACGGCGAUGCAAGCCAGAUGUGAAAGCCCGGGGCUCAACCCCGGGACUGCAUUUGGAACUGUAUAGCUAGAGUGUCGGAGAGGCAGGCGGAAUUCCUAGUGUAGCGGUGAAAUGCGUAGAUAUUAGGAGGAACACCAGUGGCGAAGGCGGCCUGCUGGACGAUGACUGACGUUGAGGCUCGAAAGCGUGGGGAGCAAACAGG
rnacentral:rRNA from 1 species